UACGGAGGAUCCAAGCGUUAUCCGGAAUCAUUGGGUUUAAAGGGUCCGUAGGCGGUUUAGUAAGUCAGUGGUGAAAGCCCAUCGCUCAACGGUGGAACGGCCAUUGAUACUGUUGAACUUGAAUUAUUAGGAAGUAACUAGAAUAUGUAGUGUAGCGGUGAAAUGCUUAGAGAUUACAUGGAAUACCAAUUGCGAAGGCAGGUUACUACUAAUGGAUUGACGCUGAUGGACGAAAGCGUGGGUAGCGAACAGG
rnacentral:rRNA from 1 species